AAGGGGUGGGCUGCUGCAGACCCAUGUGGUGCUCUGACUCAUGCCCUCUCAGCCUAACCUCUAAUUUCAGCAGAGAUUGGGGUGUGUUUCUGUUCCAUGGCUAAGUCGCUGCAUGCUCACAGCGGCUUACUUCAAGCACGGGCUGCAAGGUUUUACUUUCUUCAUCAGGAUUCCUCUCAUGCCAUGAAUGCGGGAAGUUCACAAUUGUAGGAGUUGAUAUUCCUAGAGAAAAAUGCUGAAAGCUACAUAUGAGGCAGUCCUGCUCCUCAGGGCCCAUGGAAGCUCAGAUUCCUCUUGUCUACCUGCUCUGCCAGGUGUUGUUUUUGGUGGCUUAAUGCCACUUCCACUCUCUAGCCAGUAGAAAGUGGAUCGGGCAUUAUGCAGAGCACGAAGAGGAGCACAUUGUAGUCUCUGAAUUCAGAAGAAGCAGAUAGCAAAGGUGAAGUUUCCUUCCAGGUGGAAAUUGCCAAUUGGUCUAUGGAAUGGUGAGAAUACUGUGAAAGGAGUAGCACAGAUAUCCAAGUGUGAUCGGUCAGUGGGUCUUGGCCAGGAGCAUACACAGAAUAAACAAAUGAAUAAAUAAAGAGGGGAAGGGAAAGUAAUAUUAGGACUGUCCAAGACUUGGAGUACAGCUCUCCUAAAAAGCAGUCCUUUGAAGUCUUGGGAUAUUACAGAAAGAUCCCAACAACCACUGAGCCUGGUUUCAAUUUUUGGAGGAGACACACCAGGUGAAUAAAGCAGUGUGACAUGAGAGAAAGGAGGGCGGCAAAGGUGAAUGGGACCCCAGCCUUUCAACGACUUGGGCAGAGCAACUGGAGGAGGUGCGAGUUCAGCCAACAGUGUGGAUCAGUUUCCUAGGCUGCCGUAACAAAGCACCACAACCUGGUGGCUUAGAACAACGGAAAGGCAUUUGCUCAUGGUUCCAGAAGCUGUAGGUUAGAAACUAAGUGUGGCAGGGUCAUGGCCCCUCUGAAACCUAGGAGGGAAGGAUGCUUCCCUGCUUCUUCCUGCUUCUGCUAUCCCCUGAUGUUCCUGGAUUAGUGGCAGCAUAAUUCUGGCCUCUGCCUCUGUCUUAACAUGGUGUUUUUUCCUGUGUCUCUUCAUAGUGCCUUUUCUCUCUGUGCCUCUACCUCUGAGUCCAAAUUGCCCCUUUUUAUAAGGACAUCAGUCACAUUGGAUUAGGGCCCACUAUACAGACCUUGUUUUAACUUGAUUCCUCUAUCAAGACCCUGAGAAUCUCCAAAUAAGGCCACAUUCUGAGGAACCGUGGGUUCGGACUUCAACAUGUCUUUUUUGGGGGUCACAACUCAACCCAUACCAGCUUGCUUGAUGGAUAUUCAUAGCUGACGUCAAAGUAAAUUUAAUUCUCAUCCUCAGAAGCAAGAAAGAUUCCACAACUAAGGCCAACAAUAACAUCCAGGGAGUUCGUUUCUUGAGCAACGACCAGCUCUUUGCACAGCACAAAUUGCCAAAAAAGGCCAGCAUGGUCAUUUCUCGGCCAUGCACACCUGUGAUGUGGCAAGCCAU
rnacentral:lncRNA from 1 species